UUAAUUGCGAUUAUUUUUUUUAAUUGCUUAACAACCUUAGUUUAAAUCUUUUUAACAAUGAAUUAAUGUAGUUUUAAGUGGUAUAUCUGCCCCUGUGUUCCAUUAACAAUUCCUGUGGUUAUUGUAAAUGUAGCAUUUUAAAAGGUUAAAAUCAGGUUUGUUUGCAUUGUGCUGCUUAAUUAGUUAAAGUGCUCCAAGUCAGCUUGAACCUAGUCUUCCCUUAGUAUUCCAUUCAGUUACUGUCUGCAUCAGUAACUUUAGUGGAGCAAAGUCAAGUGUUUUGUAAACUUUCCUGAGGUGUGUUUGUGUAUUGUAAUAUUGUACAGUCAUAUUUGAACAGUGACAUUAUAGGAAGAGUCCUGCCUCAAGCAGGUGCAUCUAUAGAGAUUGUGUGUCUUAGGAGGGCCAGAGGAAAGUUCUAGCUUAAUAUUUUAUUUGAAAUCCUUACUCUUUUUUAAGGUAUAGCAACUUUAUUAUCUCAGGCAUUUGGUGUUGAGAGAGAGGUGUAGGAGUCAAACUACCUGGUGUAUUACCUUUUGAUGUUACUUGGGCUAGAAAAGUACAAGGGUUAAUUACUUCUAGUCAACUGUUACUGCUCAUUGUUACUAUAUAUUUAACAAAAUUGUAUAGUCUAAGUAAUAAAAGGAAAGACGAGGCCAUAUACACUAGCUAUACGUAGUGUAUGGUAAGAGAAAUGCAUCCAUGUGCUUUAGGUAGCACUCAAAUAAUGAACUGCAGUUUGCCAAUGUAUUACAUUCCCUGUUCUUUUUUACUGUACGCUCUAUGAGCAGAACAGGAUUUCACAUUCACACACUAUCCAGUUCAUGUUGUCCAAUUCUGAUUUGGUUCUAUUCUGUCUUUACUGUUUUUUAGGUUAGUUUUAUCAUAACAGCUAGCUCUCAUUUUACUGGAGCUGUUAUAAAUAUUAACUGGGAUACAUGCUAGAGAAUACAGAAAGAACCUGAAAUAUUUGUAGAAAUGCCUCUCCCUCCCUUGAUAAAAGCCUGUUAUACUUUCCCUUCCAGCAAAGGAGAGUUGGAGCAGGCUUUCGGUAGAACCAGUCACAGAUGCUCUGAGUGCAGAAGGGACUUUUUUCAACGUAAUGUCUGUCUACCCAAAUGCUAAGCCAGAUGUAUAAUGUUCUUAGGCCUUCUGAGGACAACUGAUAUUUCUUGAUGGUCAGAGUUGCUAUAUCUCUGUAAAAAGUAAUGAGGGUAAAACUCCGAAGCCUAAGUAUGGCUCCUUAAACAACACUUACACCUUUGACAGUGUACUAUAUAGCCUUUUCUAAUAUAAAAAGUAUGUAAACAGGUAUAUUUCUGCUGUCUACCUUAUCUUGUGGAAUGUUUCCUCUAGACCAGGGGUUCCCAAACUGUGAAAGAAAGAAUGGGUAUGUGGAAGAAAUUAUGUAACGGUAGAUUUUAUUUAUUUUAUUGCAUUUUCUUAAUAGGCUUUAAAACUCUAGGAAUUUGUUUUGUAAAAUAUGGUAGUUUAUUUAAGAUGUGCCAGUGAGAAUACAAAUACACGGACACUGAUGUACCAAGCCCUCACCUCCAAUCACCAGGUCAGUUGCCCAGCAACUGUCCAGUCUAAUUGAGCUCAGAACUUAGGAUGAUUUUUUUUGUGGCAUAUGUUACACUAUAACUGUAUCUGUACAUAACAGUGAAAUAUGGAUGGGUGGCUAAAUACAGGUACUAUUAAGCACACAAAGUAUCAGUGAUGAGAAGGGUUGGAGUACGCAGCAGCUGGUAGAUUGGAAGGGGGUGUGUAGUAAGAAAAGUUUGGGAACCUCUGCUCUAGACAAGCAGGCAAGUGAUUUAUCUAAUCCCUUUUAAUUGGUGGGCUAAUAUAAAAGUUUAAUUUUGGUAACUUAAAUAUUAAUACAUUGCAAAAUCAACUGUGGUUGCAGAGUCCAUGGGUAUGUGUACACAGCGGAAAAAGAAAUAAAGCCCAUGGCAGCGACUCAGAGCCCUUACCCCUCUCCCUGGGCUUCAGCCCCAGCUUGAAUGUUUACACGGGCUAUUUGUAGCACCCUAGCGUGAACCCAGGUUUGUAGUCUGGGGCUGUGAGACUUCCUGCUGAGCGCUUUGGUUUUUUUUUUGCUAUGUAGACAUACCCAAUUGGGUCCCAGCUGCACUGCAAGACAAUGCCACUUUACUAUAUCUGUGUCAGGCCAAAUGCAUAACUAGGUCCCCUUAGCAUGACUGAAUUUGGAAGGGACCAGAUACUCAAAUGGAUGCCAGCUGCAAAGCUCUUAUUUUUGUGUUCCCCUUCAUUGCAGGUUAGACACUGCUUGCAGUUUAUUCCUUGUACUUUGUCACUGCCUACACUGGAAGGAGAUUAGGAGUCUUCUCUGCCCUGUCGUCCUUCUUAUUGGGUGCUAGAAUUGAGAUAGCUGGGAGAUUUGAACAUCUGCUCUCUGGCUACUCGGGCAUUUUUAGUGGAAGAUCCUUGACAUUGGAAUUCCUUUCUCCAUUACAGUUGAGUCUUGUUGUAAAGCUCAUAUAUUCACACAGGGGAAUUGGACUGCAUACAGCAGGGGUGGGGAAACUAUGGCCUGUGGACCGCUCCAGGCCUGUCAGACGUUUUUAUCCAGACUUCGAGCUCCUACUGGGGAGUGAAGUCUGGGGCUUGCCCCACUCCACCUGUCCGUCGCUCCUCAGCCCCCGACUCCCAGUUCCCUUGAUGAGCAGCAUCUUCUGGCACGUAGAUCCACGCUGCACAGGCGCGACUUCACCGUACUAUUUCCAGGAUCAGAACCCCCAUGUAGGAGCAUGCCCAAUGCCGUCCCGGUUUCCUACGGCCCCACCCCCGAGAGCCUCAAAACUGCCCAGGGGUCGCACCCAUCCCAACUAGGGUGCCUCUGCCCAUGGCAGUGCCUGGUACAGCUGCCUUGGUGUCACUGCCACAGGCCCCUAGAAGUCCCCUGUAGAGCCCCCACACACACACUCCAUGAGUUCCCCCCCUUCACCCACCUCGGUAACAUCUCUUAUAGAGCCCCCCCCAUGCUACACCCCAUAGAGUCCCCCUCCCCCACUGGACAUUCAUAGCCUGCUAUACAAUUUCCAUACCCAGAUGCAGCCCUCAGGCCAAAAAGUUUGCCCAUUCCUGGCAUAAAGGAUAUUAACCUAUUUGGGGAUGGAAAUCUGUUUACUAAGAUAUUAUCACGUGUUUUUUAUUAAAAGUCUGUAUGCUUAGAGGUUGUCCAGUUAAUCAGUUUUGUAAAUUGAAUAAUAAAAGUUCAGAAGUUCCCACAAUGAUCCAUGGAGUUUUAGUGAUUGAAAUAAGUACCCUACCUUUUUUCCAACUGCUAAAAUUCGUUACAAGCUAAAAAUGCAUUAAAUCAUUUCCUAUGAUUCCAUGUAAACAAUUGUGAUUGCCACAUAUGAUUGCAAAUAGGAAGGAAGGGAAGGCAGUCCACACAAUCAUAAAUGAAAGGAUUUGAUCCUUGAGACAGUCUCUAUAUUAGAACGUUCUCCAUGCUAUGGAAAAGUUUAAGAACCCCUGAAAUAAAAGAAUAAUUACCAAAUAAAAAUGUAACAUGAAUGCUGUCUUUCAAGAAACCCUAACUCUCUCUCUUCAGGUAAAUUAAUGGUUUUGAUGCACCUGGAGGAUAAUAGAUUUAUAAGGAAUAGCUAGCCAUGAAUUUCUCAAGAACAAAUCUUGGCAAACCAAUCUAAUUUUCUUCAUUGACAGGGUUUCUGUUGUAGCGGAUGAGGGGAAGGAGUAGAUGUGAUCUAUCUUGAUUUUUACUAAGGUUUUUGACAUUCUUGUAAGCAUGUGACAGUCUUGUAAGCAAACUAGGGAAAUGUGAUAUGGAUUAAAUUACUAAAGGUAGGUGUACUACUGGCUGAAAGAUCAUACUCAAUGAGUAGUUAAUGCUUUGCUGUCAAACUGGGAAAACAUAGAGGGUGGGUCCUAGGUCUGGUAUUAAUAUUUUCGUUAAUGACUUGGAUAAUGGAGUGGAGAGUGUGGUUUAAGAAAGAAAAGAAUAGAAGACUCCUUGCAAAAACUUUGGGCUUGUGUUCUAUCUUCAAGUUUUCUUGUUAAUUUUUGUUAAUGAUAUUUAGAAUGGCUUCUAGCUGCUGAGUUGAUUUUUGCUUGAGAAUACCUGCUUCUGAAAUCUUAAACAAUUAACAUUACAGCUGUGUGAUCGAUAUAGAUAGAUAUAUAUGACUGUGAUCCAAAAUGUCAGUCACUUAUUUCAUAUGGCAAGAGAGGUAAAAAAAGCACCCUUCAAAUAAAUCCAGAUUAGAGAGCCAGUGGGUAGCUUCGGGAGUGGCUUGAUGUAAGUUUGAAAUUCUACUGGCAAGCAAUCAAAGCAGACACUGCUUUACAGUGUGGUCCAUAAAACUGUGACUGGUGUUUACUACUGGGGGAAUUCUGCACUACUGCACAUGCACAGAAUUCAUGUCCGGAGCAGAAU